rnacentral:rRNA from 1 species
CAGUGGGGAAUAUUGCACAAUGGGCGCAAGCCUGAUGCAGCAACGCCGCGUGAGGGACGAAGGCCUUCGGGUUGUAAACCUCUUUUAGUAGGGAAGAAGCGACUGGGUUUUCCUGGGAGUGACGGUACCUGCAGAAAAAGCACCGGCUAACUACGUGCCAGCAGCCGCGGUAAUACGUAGGGUGCAAGCGUUGUCCGGAAUUAUUGGGCGUAAAGAGCUCGUAGGCGGUUUGUCGCGUCUGCUGUGAAAACCCGAGGCUCAACCUCGGGCCUGCAGUGGGUACGGGCAGACUAGAGUGCGGUAGGGGAGAUUGGAAUUCCUGGUGUAGCGGUGGAAUGCGCAGAUAUCAGGAGGAACACCAAUGGCGAAGGCAGAUCUCUGGGCCGUAACUGACGCUGAGGAGCGAAAGCAUGGGGAGCGAACAGGAUUAGAUACCCUGGUAGUCCAUGCCGUAAACGUUGGGAACUAGAUGUGGGGACCAUUCCACGGUCUCCGUGUCGCAGCUAACGCAUUAAGUUCCCCGCCUGGGGAGUACGGCCGCAAGGCUAAAACUCAAAGGAAUUGACGGGGGCCCGCACAAGCGGCGGAGCAUGCGGAUUAAUUCGAUGCAACGCGAAGAACCUUACCAAGGCUUGACAUAUACCGGAAACGGCUGGAAACAGUCGCCCC